UACGUAGGGGUCCGAGUCGUUGUCCGGAAUUACUGGGCGGUAAAGCGCGCGCAGGCGGCCCGCGAGGUGUCCAGCGCGGAAAGCCCCGGGCGUCAACCCGGGAGGGUCGAUGGCAACCGGCGGCUGAGGCCGGUAGAGGUGGGUGGAACUCCGUGGUGGAGUGUGAAAUGCGUAGAGAGUCAGGAAGAACACCGUGGCGAAGCGGCCCACUGGGCCGGUACUGACGCUGGAGGC
rnacentral:rRNA from 1 species